rnacentral:rRNA from 1 species
AGGGAAUAGAUACCCAGGUAGUCCAUGCUGUAAACGAUGGAUGCUAGCUGUGAUGCGUAUCGACCCGCGUCGUAGCGAAGCUAACGCGUUAAGCAUCCCGCCUGUGGAGUACGGCCGCAAGGCUAAAACAUAAAGGAAUUGACGGGGACCCGCACAAGCGGUGGAGCGUGUUGUUUAAUUCGAUGGUAAGCGAAGAACCUUACCCAGGUUUGACAUCCUUGGAAGUUCUGCGAAAGCAGAGUGUGCCUUCGGGAACCAAGUGACAGGUGAUGCAUGGCCGUCUUCAGCUCGUGUCGUGAGACGUUAGGUUAAGUCCUUCAACGAGCGCAACCCUUAUAGUUAGUUGUAUUUUCUAGCUAGACUGCCCUGGUAACAGGGAGGAAGGAGGGGACGAUGUCAGGUCAGUAUCUCCCUUAUAUCUGGGGCUACAAACACGCUACAAUGGCCGGUACAAAGGGAAGCCAACCCGCGAGGGGAGCAAAUCCCAUCAAAGCCGGUCUCAGUUCGGAUUGUAGGCUGAAACUCGCCUGC